CCAAUUAUUACUUCUUU
rnacentral:miRNA from 1 species